AUGCCCUCUGGGCUGUUAUAUAAUAUUCCAGGAGACAGUGGAGUGAAGCAGACCUCAGCGUCCCAGAGGUGUGCUGCCAAGACAGUGUGCCUUCCUUGCUUGAAGUCUUGGAAGCUUCCUACCUCCUCUAAGAAGAUUUUCCAGGCAAAACCCAGAUCUGCUUUAGUGACUUCAGAAGAAAAAGAUCUGAGGGAAGAUGAGAAGCCGAUAGCCAACGGUUAUGAGGAUGAGGGUCGCUAUCCAAAGGAUUGA